GGGACAUUAGGCGCGCGACACCGGAGGGUCAGUGAGGGAACAAUGAUCGUUUAAAAAGGAAUCUGUCAGAUGGAGACCGAUGUUGAGAAAUGUUCCUACUGUUACGGGGCUCUGCUGCCGAAGACGUAGAGUCCCUUAUUAAAGCUCUUAAUAUGUGAGAAAUGCACGCGUGUUGGUUCCUAGACUAGAAGAUCAUUGAAAAUCGCCAGUCAACGCCUCACCUCAGAGAGAGAUGUCUGGACCAUGGUUGGCUCCUGAUUUCAGCCCUGGAUAAUGGCGAGUUGGAAGAAGUAAGGUUAGGAGAGACCAUAAAGGGGACAAAAAUUGCUUUGUUUCCCACCCAUUUGCGGGGUAGAAGAAGAACCAGCCAGGAGAGACACGGAAAUCCUGUUCCUGUUAGGAAGGAAGUAGAGGAUGUAGGUAGGGGACAGAAGAUUGCUCAGGGCAUUCUCAGACUGAUUGAUUCCUGCUUUCUCAGGGGAAACCCUCUAGCAGUGAGUUCUGCUGUGCCCCAAUCCAUCUCACAACUUCAAGCUGCACUGGUCCUGGGCCCUACGCAAAGGACAAAGGACUGAUGAACAGAGUGGGACAAGUUGGUCCUUCCUGGUCUCUUCUAGUUUGGUACCGCUCACCCAAGUCUUUUCUUGUCUACACUUCGGAAGGGUAAAACCCACUUGUGGUCACAGGGAGUGAGAAAAGUGGGGCCACAGAACUGUUUCCAGGCACCUUCCAAGCUGUAAAUAUGACCCAGUUGUGUGGCAAUGGAGCGAUGUGCAAAUCCCAACUUCACGCUUGGUUUACCUAGAGCAUUUCUGGGAUUUACGUGUCUUCGUUUCUCUUUCGUGGUUCUGAUAAGACUGCCAAGAGCCACAUAAGGGAGAAUGGUUUAUUCUGGCUUACAUUUUAAAAGUCCAUCAUGGCGCGGCAGUCACAGUAGCAGGGGCAGCAAGCAUCUGGUCACGUGGCUGAUCACGUGGUGCAUCCACAGUCAGAAAGCACAGAGGGAUGCACGCGUGCUCGUGCUCCAAGGGACGCAUGCGUGCUCGUGCUCCAAGGGGCGCUUGCGUGCUAGUGCCCCACUCACUUUCUCUAACACAGUCCGGAAUCCUCACACAGCCUGCCCACAGUUGAGAUAUAUCUUACCACAUCAAUUGACAUCAUGCAGAUGACUUCUCAGACAUUCUCAGAUGCUAACAUUAAUCUAGAUAUUUCCUCACAGGUGUGCCAGAAGCUUGUCUCCUAGGUAACUGAGGAUCCUGUCAGGAUGAUGAUUAACACAUCACGCAGACUCACAAAGAAACCAGAGAGAUGACAACAUACAAUUCACACACCCGAACUUCACCCCUCCCUGUCUCCAAACAGCCCCAACUCAGUCUCCAUGACAGCGGAGCAAAGGUUUCACCAGGUAACUGCAGACUGGAAAAGAAGAGACCGUUAAUGACAGAUUGGUAGUAAUAUUUGAAAAACAAAUGACAGCAGACUCAUUGGUGUCCAUAAUUCUGCUCCACAAAGAAAAGGAUAAAUUCAGCUUCUUACUUAGGAGCCCAGAGAAAGAGUGGGGCACAGCUAGGCUUCAGUCGCUUCUCAUUAGAAAUUGGUGCGCCGCGCUGAAGAGAUGACU
rnacentral:sRNA from 1 species